GGCUGGUCCGACGGUAGUGGGUUAUCAGAACUUAUUAACAUUAGUGUCACUAAAGUUGGUAUACAACCCUCACUGCUAAAUUUGACUGGCUUUAA
ensembl:Y_RNA Y_RNA Y RNA